GAUGAACGCUGGCGGCGUGCCUAAUACAUGCAAGUCGAGCGAACGGACGCUACGCUUGCUUCUCUGAUGUUAGCGGCGGACGUGUGAGUCACACGUGGAUCCCCUACCUAUCUGACUGGGAUCACUUCGGGACACCGGCGCUAAUCCCGUAUAAUCUUUUGCACCGCAUGGUUCAAUAGUAAAAUACGGUCUUGCUGUCACUUAUAGAUGCAUCCCGGCUGCAUUAGAUAGUUGGUAAGGUAACGGCUUACCAAGGCAACGAUGCAUAGACGACCGGCGAGGGGGAUCGGCCACACUGGAAGUGAGACACGGUCCAGACGACUACGGGAGGCAGCAGUAGGGAAUGGUACGCAAUAGGCGAAAGCAUGACGGAGCAACGCGGAGUGAGUGAUGAAGGUCUUGGGAUCGUAAAAAUCGGUUAUGAGGGAAGAACAGAUGUGGAAGGAAAUGUGCACAUCGUGACGGUAACGAAUAAGAAAGCCACGGCUAACUACGUG
rnacentral:rRNA from 1 species